CUUCCGCUUGUUGUUCGGCUUACUUCCGCCCGUUGUCAUGGCGACGCGGGUUGCUUGGCUGCAGCUGUGGAUUUGUGCAGAGGGACGUUUAUGUGAAUAAUCUGAGAUUAAAGUGCAGCGUGUAGCUUUAGAGAUGGUGAUGUGUGUGAGUCAGCGCUCAGUGGACACAGUGCUGUCAGCUAUCGUGUGGCUGGUGGUGUUGGUGUCCUGGGGGUUUGUGAUCUACGGCGCUCGUGUAGCUGCACAGUGGGAGCUGGAGAAGAGAAUCGACACACAGACGUGAAGGAGGCGACACACACACACACACACACACACACCGAGACGGACUUACAGCCACAAAGUGUGUGUGUGUGUGUGUGUGUGGAACUCCUUGUCCUGCGCACAGAAUUAUGGGACUCCAUUCUCUACAAGGGACACACACACUCCUUCACACGGACACACACACUCCUUCACACAGACACGGACACACACACUCCUUCACACGGACACACACACACUCCUUCACACGGACACACACACACUCCUUCACACGGACACACACACUCCUUCACACAGACACACACACUCCUUCACACGGACACACACACUCCUUCACACAGACACACACACUCCUUCACACGGACACACACACUCCUUCACACAGACACGGACACACACACUCCUUCAGAUGGACACACACACUCCUUCACACGGACACACACACACUCCUUCACACGGACACACACACACUCCUUCACACGGACACACACACACUCCUUCGCAAAACAUUGUUCUUGUUGUUACGCUGCUGUGGAAUAAGAGGAAUAAAACACUUGGGGACGUGC